GAUGAAGAACGUAGCGAAAUGCGAUAAGUAGUGUGAAUUGCAGAAUUCAGUGAAUCAUCGAAUCUUUGAACGCACAUUGCGCCUCCUGGUAUUCCGGGAGGCAUGCCUGUUCGAGCGUCAUUAAAAUCACUCAAGCUUAGGUUUACCUAUUGCUUGGUCUUGGAGAUGGAAGCCAAUUUAUUGGAAUCCUCUUCGAAAUUCAAUGGCGAAGACCCUUGCUCUCCCAAGUGUAGUAAUAACUUAUGUCACUGAAGGAAGCGAGAAAUCUUCUGCCGUAACCCCCAUAUUUUCUAUGAUUGACCUCGGAUCAGGUAGGGAUGCCCGCUGAACUUAAGCAUAUCAAUAAGCGGAGGA
rnacentral:misc_RNA from 1 species